UUCACAUGCCGGGAAUCGAACCCGGGCCUUCUGGGUGAAAGCCAGAUUUGCUAGCCACUAGACCACGUGGGA
rnacentral:tRNA from 1 species